CAAAUUACAAAAGCCAAGUGCUUUCUUUAGUUCUCUUCAUUUUGUUCAAUAGGAAUCCUGCACAAAAAAAGUAAAUAAAAUUAAUACAAUGUCAAGUUGGUUUAUUCAUAUUAAUUAGUUGUAUGAAAAGGAAUGGCAGUGAUGGGAAAGGUCCUUAAACCUUCCCUUUUAAGUCAACAAAAUUGGCGAUCAACUAUUGUAAUAACAUAUUAACACGGCAAAUCGGUGCAAUAUACAUUUCAUACCAACAAAUUUGAUUGAGGAUAUUAUUAUAGUUACUAAUUUGGAACUGAUAAUUAAGUAUUGGAAUUUAUAAUCACCAACGACAAAAAAAGAAAACUCAAUAGCUUAAAAAUUUAAAAAGAAAAAAAAACGAGAUGAGAAGGGAAUAGGAGCUUACCGUGCGUUAGAUGAAAGUGAGAUGCUGGAGGCCAAAGCUUUGUUUCGUUAAUUAAACAAAACAAGAUGAGAAGGGAAGAACGGCUGAGAUGGUCCCUUGUUUUUGAGAGGACGCGAAGAUCGAUUGACGAAACGAAAUGGCUGUGGUCGGCUGUGAACGGUGGAGACGAACUGGCGAAGGGAAGAGACGACUGAGAGAAGGAAAAGAAGAGUGGAGUUGGAAAUUGGAAACCCUCAAGAACAAAAAUUAGGGCCGGCUAUGCCCUAAUUUUUGU
rnacentral:lncRNA from 1 species